UUUAUUUCCCAGAAGCUCCAGUUGUUAGGAUUCAAAAGUACAAAAAUGUUAGUUCUCUACACAAGGGAUGGAUGAGAGGAUGUCAGUCCCCACCAACAUAAUCUCCUUCUCUGAUAACAAGGGUUGGGCCUCAGCACCACCAAGUACGACUACCUUCCUUUGAAGAUGGACAGACCAACUCUGCAUCGAGCAAUAUCAGGUUUCCACUGGUCCAGCAGCAUUUCAGAACCAGCAGCAGUGAGGACUACGCAAUCAAACCCUUGAACCUGCAUCGCCCAGGCUGCAUUAGGCGUCAUGUGACUGAGAAUAGCAUUUUUUGUUAACAAAGAGUGUUAAAGAGAAUAUGUGAUUAUUACUGAUAUUGUUAUUGUUUAAAA